rnacentral:rRNA from 1 species
UACAGCGGGGGCAAGCGUUGUUCGGAAUUACUGGGCGUAAAGGGCGCGUAGGCGGCCCGCUAAGUCGAACGUGAAAUCCCCGAGCUCAACUCGGGAACUGCGUCCGAUACUGGCGGGCUUGAAUCCGGGAGAGGGAUGCGGAAUUCCAGGUGUAGCGGUGAAAUGCGUAGAUAUGACCCGGAACACCUAUUGCGAAGGCAGCAGGCUAAGCGAAGAUUGACGCUGAGGCUCGAAAGCGUGGGGAUCAAACAGG